GUGGGUAUAAAUGAGUGGUGGAGUGCGUGCUUAGCAUGCACGAGGUCCUGGGUUCAAUCCCCAGUACUUCCA
rnacentral:tRNA from 1 species